CACACAUGCAAGUAGGUUGUCAAUUCUGUGGCAGGGUCAGUUUUCUCUUUCUCAAUCAAGAAGCAGGAUGGUCAGCUGGGAGUGGGAAGAGUCGCAGUGGAGACAGGAGCCUGAGGCAAGGAGAGGCAUGACGUUGGGUGCUGGGCAGUGCCAGGGCCCAGUGGAUGUCCCUGGCUGUGAGGUUGAAUGAGGCUGGCGUGGGAGAAGGAGGCUGUCUGCAAGCCAGAAAGAGCCCUCACCAGACACGCCCCUGCUGCCACCUUGUUCUGGGACCUCCAGCCUCCAUCUCUGGAAAAAUAACUGUCUGUUGGGUGCGCUGCCCGGCCCGAGGUACUCUGUCAUGCAGCCCAGCAGACGAACACAGCGUUCCUUAGUGCUUUCUGGUUGAAAGCCACCGGCAAACCUGCACUGAUUUUGGGGGAAGCACAAGCCCUGCCCGAAGGCUCGAACACCCUCCUGCGCUUCCGUUUGAUCUUCACAGUCCCUGUUCUGACCUUGUGGGCCCUGCUGGGUGCAGGUCUAAUUGCUGCCCAGACCUAGUGAACAGGUGGUGUGCUGCGGGCCCAGCCCGUGCACCCCCACAGAGCAGCCCUUGCCGUCCCCUUCGUUAUCUUGCCAUAAGGCUUGGCUCCUGCCUCGAAAAUGCGUCCACAGCCUGUGAUUAAUCAUCUUUCCCCUAACCCAAUCAUCUGUGAGCACAAAGCCCCCUCCCCUCAUAUUCUUUGGAUGAGCCGAGACUCUGUAAAUGGGUCUUGUAUCUGAGAGACCUCCCUCUUUUGUCCCAUCCCUAUCCCCUAUCCCCUGUGAGGUCUUCACCUCCCCACUACUGCUGAGCUGGCAUCCUGCCCCUUGUCAGUACAGACCUCAGACCUACAACUGAAACCCCUCAGAUCCCGAAUUCUUUGCUGCCACAACUUGCUCGGGGGUUCCAGAGCCACCCCUGCUGGCCUGCGUGACUGCCUCUGCUGGGAGUCCUCUGAGCCUGGCUCAGCCUCUCUGUUUCUGCCCUGCGGACUCUGCUUUCCCUCCUUACAGACGUCCCUGCUGUUCCCAGCAUGUCUCACACCUACAUCCAUCUGAACCGUUUCCCUCACUCCCCUGUAUCUGGAGGUGAGUCCUUGGGGUGUGUGGGCUGUAGGGGAGGCAUCUCACCACGAACUUGUCUCCUGUCCCCACAGAUCCCUACAGAUGGACAACGCCAGGGUACAGGAACCACCUCAAGCCCAGGGUCAGCCUCGGGCCUCAGCGCCACCAUGCUUCUCUGGAUUUGGGAUCUAGUCUUCUUCUUCUUUUGAGGUUUUUCCUUAUCUUUUUGUGAGCCUAAUCACACAUUUAAACAAUAGGCCUUUCUAGAUGCUUUGGAGCCUUUCCAGGCUUUGGAGAAGAGGGUUUCCAGCCUUUCUAGGUGCACUGGAGCAGCGGGUUUUCAGAAUAACUCCCUGGAUAUUACAGCAGAGAAACAUGGACCAGGAAUUAAAAUCAGUUCACUUCAUGUGGUCCCAGUAGCAAAUGCCAGCAACAGUACCUGCGGCUGCGCCACCCUGACCUACACGACAGGUGUCUGUGUUAGCUUUGGCAGCAGCUUGUCACUCUCUGAUCCCAGAGCUGCAUCUUCCCUGAAUUAUAGAAAAGGCCGCUUAACUUCUAUUUGUGUAAUCAGGAUGCAGGAGUUUAUGUUUAUGUUGUUUAAACUUCACCUUGCUUGUUUUGGCCCAACAUUUGCACCUGGCAAAUUUGGUCUCUGAACCUUCAUUCUGCAAUAUGUGGUGUUUGCCUCCCUCUAAACACAGAUUGUCUGCAAACCUCAUGAGAAGCCCAUCCAUAGCUUCACCCAAGCUAUCAGCCAAGGUCUGAUUGGAAUACUUAUGGAGGUUAUUCUAAGAUCAUUCAUUCCAUCCACCCCUGGAGGCAGCCAGGUAUCCCCCUGGCAUCAGGAGGGAUGAAUAUCUUGAAUGGAAUAGGAUUUGGAGCCACUGAAGGACUCUAGGUUGACCUCAGACCAGUAACCCACACUCACAGGCAUGGCCAUCCAGUGGUUUUGAAUCCACUGGACAAUGCUAUUGCCCAGCUCAUAUUCCAUCUUCCUACCCAUGGGACAUAGGCAGGGGCUUCACAAGUUUGCCCCAGAACCAAGAUGCACCAUGAUCUGCCCCGGAGCUCCCUCACCACACACUCACACCCCCGAGGAGAGGAUCUUUUGCCCUAACAUGUCCAGCCCUCUCUGAGGCCUCAUCAGAAUCCCCGGGGAUUUGUUCACUCUCCUCCACUUGUUCUUGUAACAGAUGCUUAUUGAGCACCCUACAACCAGGAAACUGGACUUUACAACAGGGUGGUGAGGGCUAUGACCCAGUCGGGGUGCCAGGAGGAGGGGCAGGUGUGGAGAAGCAUAGAAUGGGCAGGAUCAACCCAACCUGGAAGGGUCAUGGUGGCCUGUGUGGGGCUGAUCUAGCCUUGCCCCAGGCCAGGAACAGAAUGAAGUCCACUCUGGUGGGCAGAGAACAGGUGAAACGGGGGGAGGCAGUGAGAGAUGGGAGGUUCCUCCAUGCCAGGUGGUGCCUAGGCAGUUGGGUGCACCUGUGCACAGAUCUUCACCACACAUAGAGAGCCAUAAAUUCCAGUUUAAUACACAAGGAGUGCACACUGUGAAAGUUGUCAGAUUCAAAAUGGAGUCACUUGUGUCAACCUCUGACAAAUAGUGCCAGGGAAGCAGCGGGGGUUCUCACGUACCAUUUGCCUGAUAAUGAGAGCUCUCACAAGAAAUUUUCCCAAACUGGAGCUCACUAAGGAGUCACACGAGGGCAGCCAGCAGCACCAGGGCAGCCAGCAGCACCAGGACAGCCCCCUGCUCACACAAGAACACUCGCCUGGCACAUUGUCACACAAGCCCCAUACAAAAUGACAAGGACCUAACCCUAGCUCCAAGAUUGCAAGUCACACCCAGCAACCGCUCACAUUUGCCCGUUGGCACGCACCAGCUCUUGCAAGUCACUGCCAGCCCCAGUGAACUUUCUUUCAAAACGACAUGGGGCAACUCCUCUUUCCCCUAUCAACUCUAACUUUUCCUUUGUUCUCUGUACCCACCAGAGGUCACCCUGGUCUGUAUGGAUGUCCCAGAUUGUAAUCCUACUUCUUGUAUAUUAUUCCAAAUUAAACCUUCUUAUUUAGAGAUUCAGCUCUCUUUUUUUUUAUGUUGACAUAACCUGUUGUCAGAAGUGGGGUUUGAAGCUGACUCACCUUGGAGAGAUCAACGCCCCUGGAAGGAUUGCAUGGGGUGCCCACUCUGGGGCUCCUUGAGUGUCCCUGCCCCUGGCUUCCAGGGGUUGCUUCCUCCCCCGGUACCAUGACUCUUUCUUGAGUUGAGCUCUCAUUUUUGUUUCAGUUGAGUUCUUUGGUUUUAUUUGGGUUUUGUUUGUGAGGGGUCUUUUCCCCUCCUGCUGCUGAGGUCUCCUAUUAAGAGGGGUGAUAUGGUUUGGCUGUGUCCCCACCCAAAUCUCAUCUUGAAUUCCCACGUGUUGUGGGAGGGACCUGGUGAGAGGCAAUUGAAUCAUGGGAACAAGUCUUUCCCAUGCUGUUCUGUUGAUAGUGAAUAAGUCUCAUGAGAUCUGAUGGUUUUAAAAAGAGGAGUUCCCCUGCACAAACUCUCUUUCUUUCUUUUUUUUUGCCUUCUGCCAUGUAUGUAGAUGCGAUUUGCUCCUCCUUCCCUUCUGCCAUGAUUGUGAGGCCUCCCCAGCCAUGUGGAACUGUGAGUCCAAUUAAACCUCUUUCGUUUGUAAAUCGCCCAGUCUAAGGUAUGUCUUUUUCAGCAGCAUAAAAAUGGACUGAUACAAGGGCCUUUUCUUCUCCUGAUUUAUGAGGGACUUUCCCUCCUGUUAAAGAAGGCUUUGUCGUCCUUCCCAGUGAGCACAUACCUUAUUCUUUGGUUUCAUUUUGCACGCCUGAUAUUUUGCUUUUAUGUGCUUGGCCUUAGUGCUGACUUGCCUCGAUACAUUGGUUUAAAGUAUGGGCUCUUAAAGUUCAAAGGCAGGCUAAGAUAGUUCCCUUCUUCUGGGACUCUAGCUGGUGACACGUUCAAACAUUAUGGAGGUCAUUCAAACGGUUUGUUUUUCUUAGAACUAUACGAAAAGACUCUGACUUAAAAUCAGAUAGUCCAGAUAGGAUGGGCAUCUCAGUGGGUAACUCAAAGCUUCAAGCUGCACCCAGGACUCAAGGACUGCCUUCCUGCAAAACACUGUCUCAAAGCCAGCUGGGCUGUCUCCCCUUGGGAGCCUUGCCCACCUUCCCACGCCUCCUCCUCAAGCUAAAAUCUAUUUUCCAAAACUCCUCAGCUAUUCUGGCAUACUGACUAUAUAAGUAACAACACUUGAAAAACAGCAGGUACAAAAAAGAAUCAUUUGACCUUCAUGCUGUUUCUUAAAAGCAAAAGAUGCAAUUCCCAUGUAAAAGACAAACUCCCUGAACUAGAAGGAAAAACAACACUCUUAUCUUCAAGGACCAGGAAUUAAAGCGAAGGAAAUACCGCACAGACCUUGUUAGAGUCAUCUGACUUAAUUAUCUUUGAUAAAUAGGCUGACUUUAAAUUGGUUGACAAAAUGAAAAUGAAGAUACCUUCAGAAUUUUCCUGGAUACGUGUGCAGGCUGUGCAGAUUUGUUACAUAGGUAAACAUGUGCCAUGGUGGUUUGCUGCAUCUAUCAACCUGUCACCUAGGUAUUAAGCCCAGCAUGCAUUAGCUAUUUAUCCUGAUGCUCUCCCUCCCGCCGUACCUCCUCCACCCUUCAGGCCCCAGUGUGUGUUGUUCCCCUCCCUGUGUCCAUGUGUUCUAUAGCUGGGUCAUUUCUAAAUAAAAUACUGAAACAUGAAUUGUUAAACAGAGAUUCAAGUUUACUUACUUUUGGUUUCCUAAAUUGUAUAAAAAGACAAAAGACAUUUGGGUCUAUUAGUAAAUAAAUGUGUCUUCC
rnacentral:lncRNA from 1 species